rnacentral:lncRNA from 1 species
CAUUUAUAUCGAUGUAACCUUUCUAAAUAAGUUGCUAGUUUCUUUUGUGAAGCAGAACCAACACUUUCGGCUUCGGUAGCAACAUUUAAUCAAGAUCCAACAAACUUUGUACCAGCAGGUAUUAUUUCCAACAAAAAUUUAACAGAGGCAGGACUUAAAAUUAGAAAGGAAUUUCUGGGUGAUGUACCAACUGUCACACUGGAUAAUUCUUUAAUACAUUUGUUUAAUGUUGAUCAAAUGAUUCGACCUCCCCAUAGAUUCGUCGCUGAUAUUAAAAAAUAUGUCCCUAAUACAUACUUGUAUCAAUUUAGCUACCAAGGAGAUAUUGAAAAGGCACUUGGAUACAAUUUUAG